AUUGAACGCUGGCGGCAUGCCUUACACAUGCAAGUCGAACGGUAACAGGCCUUCGGAUGCUGACGAGUGGCGAACGGGUGGGUAAUACAUCGGAACGUGCCUAGUAGUGGGGGAUAACUACUCGAAAGAGUGGCUAAUACCGCAUGAGAUCUACGGAUGAAAGCAGGGGAUCGCAAGACCUUGUGCUACUAGAGCGGCCGAUGGCAGAUUAGGUAGUUGGUGGGAUAAAAGCUUACCAAGCCGACGAUCUGUAGCUGGUCUGAGAGGACGAUCAGCCACACUGGGACUGAGACCCGGCCCAGACUCCUACGGGAGGCAGCAGUGGGGAAUUUUGGACAAUGGGCGAAAGCCUGAUCCAGCAAUGCCGCGUGCAGGAUGAAGGCCUUCGGGUUGUAAACUGCUUUUGUACGGAACGAAAAGCCCCGGGUUAAUACCCUGGGGUCAUGACGGUACCGUAAGAAUAAGCACCGGCUAACUACGUGCCAGCCGCCGCCGUAA
rnacentral:rRNA from 1 species